AGGGUUUGAUUCUGGCUCAGGAUGAACGCUAGCUACAGGCUUAACACAUGCAAGUCGAGGGGCAUCGGGUGAGGGCUUCUGCCAUCACGCCGGCGACCGGCGCACGGGUGAGUAACGCGUAUCCAACCUGCCCAUGGCUGGGGGAUAACCUUGCGAAAGCAAGCCUAAUACCCCAUGCUCUCCGCUGGGGGCAUCCCUUGCGGAGGAAAGGAUUUCCGGCCAUGGAUGGGGAUGCGUCCGAUUAGCUUGCCGGUGGGGUGACGGCCCACCGGGGCAUCGAUCGGUAGGGGUUCUGAGAGGAAGGUCCCCCACACUGGAACUGAGACACGGUCCAG
rnacentral:rRNA from 1 species